GCAUGCGAUCAAAUGAUACAAUUGUCACAACGAUGAUAAUUGUAUCGAGUAUAGGUCAUUGUAUGCCAUAUUAGUCUGUUGUCCUCUUAACCAAGACGUGUGUUGACACGAGUAUGACAUAUAGGUGAUAUGUAGGAGUACAUUUCAUCGAGCAUGAUCACUUUUGGAGCACUCUGCUAUCAAGGGUUGCUCUGAUGGGAUAUGGAUAUAUGUGUCUCU
rnacentral:lncRNA from 1 species